rnacentral:rRNA from 1 species
AGCAUAUCAAUAAGCGGAGGAAAAGAAACCAACAGGGAUUGCCCUAGUAACGGCGAGUGAAGCGGCAACAGCUCAAAUUUGAAAUCUGGCCUCCUUUGGGGGUCCGAGUUGUAAUUUGCAGAGGGUGCUUUGGCGUCGGCAGCGGUCUAAGUUCCUUGGAACAGGACAUCACAGAGGGUGAGAAUCCCGUACGUGGUCGCCUGCCUUCGCCGUGUAAAGCCCCUUCGACGAGUCGAGUUGUUUGGGAAUGCAGCUCUAAAUGGGAGGUAAAUUUCUUCUAAAGCUAAAUACCGGCCAGAGACCGAUAGCGCACAAGUAGAGUGAUCGAAAGAUGAAAAGCACUUUGGAAAGAGAGUCAAACAGCACGUGAAAUUGUUGAAAGGGAAGCGCUUGCAGCCAGACUUGCUCGUAGUUGCUCAUCCGGGUCCGCCCGGAGCACUCUUCUGCGAGCAGGCCAGCAUCAGUUUGGGCGACCGGAUAAAGGCCUCUGUCAUGUAUCUUCCUUCGGGAUGACCUUAUAGGGGAGGCGUAAUGCGGCCAGCCCGGACUGAGGUCCGCGCAUCUGCUAGGAUGCUGGCGUAAUGGCUGUAAGCGGCCCGUCUUGAAACACGGACCAAGGAGUCUAACAUCUAUGCGAGUGUUUGGGUGUCAAGCCCGGGCGCGUAAUGAAAGUGAACGGAGGUGGGAACCCUCUCCGGGGGGUGCACCAUCGACCGAUCCUGAUGUCUUCGGAUGGAUUUGAGUAAGAGCAUAGCUGUUGGGACCCGAAAGAUGGUGAACUAUGCUUGAAUAGGGUGAAGCCAGAGGAAACUCUGGUGGAGGCUCGCAGCGGUUCUGACGUGCAAAUCGAUCGUCAAAUUUGGGCAUAGGGGCGAAAGACUAAUCGAACUAUCUAGUAGCUGGUUCCUGCCGAAGUUCCCCCCUC